UACCAGCUCUCCGAGUGGUAGGGAUGAUUAUUGGGCUUAAAGCGUCCGUAGCCGGCUUAGCAAGUUUCCUGUUAAACUCAGCGACUCAAUCGUUGGAUCGCGGGAGAUACUACUAGGCUAGGAGGCGGGAGAGGUCAACGGUACUUCUGGGGUAGGGGUGAAAUCCUAUAAUCCCGGGAGGACCACCAGUGGCGAAGGCUGUUGACUAGAACGCGCUCGACGGUGAGGGACGAAAGCUGGGGUAGCAAACCGGAUUAGAUACCCGGGUAGUCCCAGCUGUAAACGAUGCAGGCUAGGUGUUUGGGCGGCCACGUGCCGCUCUAGUGCCGCAGGGAAGCCGUUAAGCCUGCCGCCUGGGGAGUACGGCCGCAAGGCUGAAACUUAAAGGAAUUGGCGGGGAGCACCACAAGGGUGAGCGUGCGGUUU
rnacentral:rRNA from 1 species